rnacentral:rRNA from 1 species
ACGAACGCUGGCGGCGUGCCUAACACAUGCAAGUCGAACGGGAUUAAGGGGCUUGCUCCUUAAUUAGUGGCGCACGGGUGAGUAAUGCGUAGAUAAUCUACCCAAGGAUCCGGGAUAACAUUUCGAAAGGGGUGCUAAUACCGGAUAAGCCCACGGAGUCUUCGGACUCUGCGGGAAAAGGGGGGGACCUUCGGGCCUUCUGUCCUCGGAUGAGUCUACGUACCAUUAGCUAGUUGGUGGGGUAAAGGCCUACCAAGGCGACGAUGGUUAGCUGGUCUGAGAGGAUGAUCAGCCACACUGGAACUGAGACACGGUCCAGACUCCUACGGGAGGCAGCAGUGGGGAAUUUUGCGCAAUGGGGGAAACCCUGACGCAGCAACGCCGCGUGAGUGAUGAUGGCCUUCGGGUCGUAAAGCUCUGUCAGUGGGAAAGAAAUGUACGAGGGCCAAUACCCCUUGUACUUGACGGUACCCACAAAGGAAGCACCGGCUAACUCCGUGCCAGCAGCCGCGGUAAUACGUAGGGUGCGAGCGUUAUCGGAAUUAUGGGCGUAAACGCGUGUAGGCGGUUCCUGUAAGCAGAUGUGAAAUCCCCGGGCUCAACCUGGAAUGCAUUGGACUGAGGACUGGAGUCGGAGAGGGUAUGGAAUUCCCAUGUGUAGCAGUGAAAUCCGUAGAUAUGGAGGAACUACCGUGGCGAAGGCAGGCUCUGGGCCGAACUGACGCUCAGCCCGAAAGCGUGGGAGCAACAGGAUUAGAUACCCUGGUAGUCCACGCCUAAACGAUAGUCGACUGGUGUCGCGGGUUUGACCCCUCAGUAACGCAGCUAACGCAUGAAGUCGACCGCCUGGGAGUACGGCCGCAAGCUUAAACUCAAAGGAUUGACGGGGCCCGCACAAGCGGUGGAUCAUGUGGAUUAAUUCGACUGCAACGCGCAUAACCUUACCUCCCUUGACAUGUCCGAGGAUCUCUGAAAGCGGCGUGCCGAUCGGGACCGCGAACAGGUGCUGCAUGGCUGUCGUCAGCUCGUGUCGUGAGAUGUUGGGUUAAGUCCCGCAACGAGCGCAACCCUUCCUUAGUUGCCAUCAUCAAGUUGGGCACUCUAAUGAGGACUGCCGGUGUACAAACCGGAGGAAGGUGGGGAUGACGUCAAGUCCUCAUGGCCCUUAUGGGUCAGGGCUACACACGUACUACAAUGGCCGGUACAAGAGGCUGCCAAGCCGAGAGAUCUGGAGCCAAUCUCGAAAAGCGCGUCGUCAGUUCCGGAUUGCAGUCUGCAACUCGACUGCCAUGAAGUUGGAAUCGCUAGUAAUCGCGGAUCAGCAUGUCCGCGGUGAAUACGUUCCCGGGUCCUUGUACACACCGCCCGUCACACCACUGGGAGUCGGAUUGUCACCAGAAGUGCGGUGAGCUAACCCGCAAGGGAGGCAGCGCCCUAAGGUGAGAUUCAGUGACUGGGGUG